rnacentral:rRNA from 1 species
GCAUUAAAUGAAAGAUGAGCGGCGGACGGGUGAGUAACGCGUGGGUAACCUGCCCUAUACACAUGGAUAACAUACUGAAAAGUUUACUAAUACAUGAUAAUAUAUAUUUACGGCAUCGUAGAUAUAUCAAAGUGUUAGCGGUAUAGGAUGGACCCGCGUCUGAUUAGCUAGUUGGUGAGAUAACUGCCCACCAAGGCGACGAUCAGUAGCCGACCUGAGAGGGUGAUCGGCCACAUUGGAACUGAGACACGGUCCAAACUCCUACGGGAGGCAGCAGUGGGGAAUAUUGCACAAUGGGCGCAAGCCUGAUGCAGCAACGCCGCGUGAACGAUGAAGGUCUUCGGAUCGUAAAGUUCUGUUGCAGGGGAAGAUAAUGACGGUACCCUGUGAGGAAGCCCCGGCUAACUACGUGCCAGCAGCCGCGGUAAUACGUAGGGGGCUAGCGUUAUCCGGAUUUACUGGGCGUAAAGGGUGCGUAGGUGGUCUUUCAAGUCGGUGGUUAAAGGCUACGGCUCAACCGUAGUUAGCCUCCGAAACUGGAAGACUUGAGUGCAGGAGAGGAAAGUGGAAUUCCCAGUGUAGCGGUGAAAUGCGUAGAUAUUGGGAGGAACACCAGUAGCGAAGGCGGCUUUCUGGACUGCAACUGACACUGAGGCACGAAAGCGUGGGUAGCAAACAGGAUUAGAUACCCUGGUAGUCCACGCUGUAAACGAUGAGUACUAGGUGUCGGGGGUUACCCCCCUCGGUGCCGCAGCUAACGCAUUAAGUACUCCGCCUGGGGAGUACG